rnacentral:rRNA from 1 species
AUACGAAGGGUGCAAGCGUUAAUCGGAAUUACUGGGCGUAAAGCGCGCGUAGGUGGUUUUGUAAGUUGGAGGUGAAAGCCCCGGGCUCAACCUGGGAAUUGCCUCCAAAACUGCGUGACUAGAGUACGGUAGAGGGUAGUAGAAUUUCCUGUGUAGCGGUGAAAUGCGUAGAUAUAGGAAGGAACACCAGUGGCGAAGGCGACUACCGGGACUGAUACUGACACUGAGGUGCGAAAGCGUGGGGAGAAAACAGGAUUAGAUACCCUGGUAGUCCACGCCGUAAACGAUGUCAACUAGCCGUUGGGAUCCUUGAGAUCUUAGUGGCGCAGCUAACGCAUUAAGUUGACCGCCUGGGGAGUACGGCCGCAAGGUUAAAACUCAAAUGAAUUGACGGGG